rnacentral:lncRNA from 1 species
CAUUCACAAUUUAGUCAGAACCUGGAAUGCUACCUUCAGAUUAUGGAAGCUGGCAAAAUUCAUAACCUGGCAAAAGGGAAAAUAUUCACAUAAUUCCCUCGGCAAGAAACCAAAUCAAACUAUUCUUUUUAAUUGCAGGUUGUUGAUAUUUGUGGAAGAUGCUAAAGAUGGAAAAGUGGUCACUUGGGAAGGCACAACACUGCACAACUGUUCCUCCCACAGCUGCUGGGGUGCUGCUCCAGGAUGCAGUUUCAAACUCACAAAUAUCUGUGCAGAUACACACAUAUGAGCCUUCCAAGACAUGCAAAUCUCUGCCGUCCUUCUGUGGUAUCACCGCUGCCAGAAAAGUCAACUGCAAUGCAAAGCCAAGGAGCAGGACUCAGGAAACCCUCCUGCUUUCAUGUUUGGUGAGAAUUUCAAAGUUUGUCUCUUGUGGUGUUAUUUUUUCCUGCUGA